UACGUAGGGCGCAAGCGUUGUCCGGAAUUAUUGGGCGUAAAGAGCUCGUAGGCGGCUCGUCGCGUCGGAAGUGAAAGCCCAAUGGCUUAACUGUGGGUCUGCUUUCGAUACUGUCCGUGCUUGAGGACUGGAGAGGAGACUGGAAUUUACGGUGUAGCGGUGAAAUGCGUAGAUAUCGUAAGGAAGACCAGUGGCGAAGGCGGGUCUCUGGGACAGUUCCUGACGCUGAGGCACGAAGGCCAGGGGAGGCAAACGGG
rnacentral:rRNA from 1 species